rnacentral:rRNA from 1 species
AUUGAACGCUAGCGGGAUGCCUUACACAUGCAAGUCGAACGAGUGGCGGACGGGUGAGUAAUAUAUCGGAACGUGCCCAGUAGCGGGGGUUAACUACUCGAACGAGUGGCUAAUACCGAAUACUAUUGGAGCGGCCGAUAUCGGCUUAGCUUGUUGGUGGGGUAAAGGCUCACAAAGGCAACGAUCCGUAGCUGGUUUGAGCGGACGACCAGCAACCCUGGGACGGGGAAACGGCCCAGACUCCUCCGGGAGGCAGCAGUGGGGAAUUUUGGAAAAGGGGGGAAACCCUGAUCCAGCCAUCCGGCGUGUAUGAGAAGGCCUUCGGGUUGUAAAGUACUUUUGGCAGAGAAGCGUUACCGACAGAAGAAGCACCGGCUAACUCCGUGCCAGCAGCCGCGGUAAUAC